rnacentral:guide_RNA from 1 species
ACAAAUAACAACAAUGAUCAGACUAAUAGAGUAAUAGUGAUUAUAUAUGAU